rnacentral:rRNA from 1 species
UCCUACGGGAGGCAGCAGUGGGGAAUAUUGCAUAAUGGGCGCAAGCCUGAUGCAGCAACGCCGCGUGAGGGACGAAGGCCUUCGGGUUGUAAACCUCUUUUAGUAGGGAAGAAGCGACUGGGUUUUCCUGGGAGUGACGGUACCUGCAGAAAAAGCACCGGCUAACUACGUGCCAGCAGCCGCGGUAAUACGUAGGGUGCAAGCGUUGUCCGGAAUUAUUGGGCGUAAAGAGCUCGUAGGCGGUUUGUCGCGUCUGCUGUGAAAACCCGAGGCUCAACCUCGGGCCUGCAGUGGGUACGGGCAGACUAGAGUGCGGUAGGGGAGAUUGGAAUUCCUGGUGUAGCGGUGGAAUGCGCAGAUAUCAGGAGGAACACCAAUGGCGAAGGCAGAUCUCUGGGCCGUAACUGACGCUGAGGAGCGAAAGCAUGGGGAGCGAACAGGAUUAGAUACCCUGGUAGUCCAUGCCGUAAACGUUGGGAACUAGAUGUGGGGACCAUUCCACGGUCUCCGUGUCGCAGCUAACGCAUUAAGUUCCCCGCCUGGGGAGUACGGCCGCAAGGCUAAAACUCAAAGGAAUUGACGGGGGCCCGCACAAGCGGCGGAGCAUGCGGAUUAAUUCGAUGCAACGCGAAGAACCUUACCAAGGCUUGACAUAUACCGGAAACGGCUGGAAACAGUCGCCCCGCAAGGUCGGUAUACAGGUGGUGCAUGGUUGUCGUCAGCUCGUGUCGUGAGAUGUUGGGUUAAGUCCCGCAACGAGCGCAACCCUCGUCCUAUGUUGCCAGCACGUAAUGGUGGGAACUCAUGGGAUACUGCCGGGGUCAACUCGGAGGAAGGUGGGGAUGACGUCAAAUCAUCAUGCCCCUUAUGUCUUGGGCUUCACGCAUGCUACAAAGGCCGGUACAAAGGGCUGCGAUACCGCAAGGUGGAGCGAAUCCCAAAAAGCCGGUCUCAGUUCGGAUUGAGGUCUGCAACUCGACCUCAUGAAGUCGGAGUCGCUAGUAAUCGCAGAUCAGCAACGCUGCGGUGAAUGCGUUCCCGGGCCUUGUACACACCGCC